GGAGACAUGAGACUGUUCCAUGUAGG
rnacentral:piRNA from 1 species